AGGAUGAACGCUGGCGGCGUGCCUAAGACAUGCAAGUCGAGUGGGUUUAGGCCCACGGCGAACGGGUGAGUAAUACCUAGGAACUUCCUUUAAGUUGAGCAUAACCCACCGAAAGGUGGGAUAAUACUCGAUGUGGUCGUAAGACUAAAGUCGCAAGACGCUUAAGGCAAGGCCUGGGUCCCAUCAGCUAGUUGGUAGGGUAAUGGCCUACCAAGGCUACGACGGGUAGGGGCACCGAGAGGUGUAACCCCCACACUGGGACUGCGACACGGCCCAGACUCCUACGGGAGGCAGCAGUUUGGAAUAUUGGACAAUGGACGAAAGUCUGAUCCAGCGACGCCGCGUGCACGAUGAAGGCCUUCGGGUCGUAAAGUGCUUUUGGUGGGGAAAAAUUUUUGAUUGUACCCACAGAAUAAGAGGUUGCUAACUCUGUGCCAGCAGCCGC
rnacentral:rRNA from 1 species